GACGAACGCUGGCGGCGUGCUUAACACAUGCAAGUCGAACGGAAAGGCCCUGCUUUUGUGGGGUGCUCGAGUGGCGAACGGGUGAGUAACACGUGAGUAACCUGCCCUUGACUUUGGGAUAACUUCAGGAAACUGGGGCUAAUACCGGAUAGGAGCUCCUGCUGCAUGGUGGGGGUUGGAAAGUUUCGGCGGUUGGGGAUGGACUCGCGGCUUAUCAGCCUGUUGGUGGGGUAGUGGCUUACCAAGGCUUUGACGGGUAGCCGGCCUGAGAGGGUGACCGGCCACAUUGGGACUGAGAUACGGCCCAGACUCCUACGGGAGGCAGCAGUGGGGAAUAUUGCACAAUGGGCGGAAGCCUGAUGCAGCAACGCCGCGUGCGGGAUGACGGCCUUCGGGUUGUAAACCGCUUUCGCCUGUGACGAAGCGUGAGUGACGGUAAUGGGUAAAGAAGCACCAGCUAACUACGUG
rnacentral:rRNA from 1 species